CAGGAUGUACCCAGCUCAGCAAGCUCCUCACUCCAAUGCAAAUGGACAGAGAGUCUGUGGGGCCUGAAACUUCCGUGGCUGAUUGGCAAGGCAGGGGAGGCCUGUCUAAGAGAGUGGAAGAAGGGACCGAGCCUGGAGAAUGUGCUGUACAUCUGAAAGGAACUUCAGCCAAAUUUGAGACAGGGCUGGUAUGCUGCCUCAGCAGGCCUUGAACUGUAGGUUCUUCUCCAUGAGCCUCUGGAGUAGCUGGGAGUCUGACUCAGACACAGAUGCCCUAAGUGGAGACAGGAGACUCGAGCAGGAGAAGGAGAUGCCCACCCAAGCCCAGCUGCUCUGUCUGUCUCCUGCCUGUGGAUUAGCACAUAAAGCUCUCAGCUACUGCUCCAGUGCCAUGCCUAUGUGCUUCCCAGUGUGGUGAUCAUGGACUCGCCCUUCGAAACUAGAACAGACAGCAUGAGGACCAAAGAGAAAGGAGAAACUGGAUGCUGGAGGUGCCUAAUUGAAAAGUCCAUUCUGUAGAGGGAGGAAGGGGCUUUCUAGAAAGGAAACAUGGAGUGGUCAGCAGAGCUGGAAGCCAGAGAAGAGAAGAUAGGGCCAGUGGAGGGUGAGCAGCAUAGUACUCAUCACGUUUUAACCACUGAGGAUGUAAUGGUCCAGGAAGCCACAACCUCACACCAACUGCCCCUCCUACUCUCAUGGUAGUACAGAGCCUCCCUAGAUAAUGCCAAGGCUUGAAGUGGAAAUUUGUAGUUUCUUUGGAGACUCAGUUGUACCAUGUAAUGUUUUUCUGGAAACUGUCUAGUGAGAGGAUGUUUUGCUGAGAACAGAUACAUGAUAUUUUUCUGGAAGC